AACUUUUGGCAAUGGAUCUCUUGGUUCUGGCAUCGAUGAAGAACGCAGCGAAAUGCGAUAAGUAAUGUGAAUUGCAGAACUCAGUGAAUCAUCGAAUCUUUGAACGCACAUUGCGCCCCUUGGUAUUCCGAGGGGCAUGCCUGUUCGAGCGUCAUUACAACCCUCAAGCACUGCUUGGUAUUGGGCUCCGCUGCUUAUACAGCGGGCCUUAAAAUUAGUGGCGGUGUCAUUAGGCCCUGAGCGUAGUAAAUAUCCUCGCUAUAGGGACUUGGUGAUUACUGGCCAGCAACCCCCACUUUCUAAGUUUGACCUCGGAUCAGGUAGGGAUACCCGCUGAACUUAAGCAUAUCAAUAAGCGGAGGCU
rnacentral:misc_RNA from 1 species